CCAAGGAGUCUAACACGUGUGCGAGUCAUGGAGCGACACGAUACUCAAAGGAGUAAUGAAAGUGAAGGCAGGUUUUGGGCCAGCCUAGGUAGGACGGUCUCCCUCCGUGGGGGGCAAGCACUACCGGCCCGUCUCAAUCCCCACCGUGGAUGAGGCGGAGCAAGAGCACAUGCGUUGGGACCCGAAAGAUGGUGAACUAUGCCUGAGCAGGACGAAGCCAGAGGAAACUCUGGUGGAAGUCCGUAGCGAUUCUGACGUGCAAAUCGAUCGUCGAACUUUGGUAUAGGGGCGAAAGACUAAUCGAACCAUCUA
rnacentral:rRNA from 1 species